UGUGAUACUCAUUUUAUUGCCAUUGCAAGGACAACUAGAAGUGCAUCACUUUAUUUCUUAACAUUGAUACUUAAUACUACAGAAGGACUCUGUCUGUAAGUGUUGAACUAUUGUACCACACAAUAAUGAGUUGCUAUAGAUCUUGGUGUCUCCAAGAACAAAAUGCCUCAAUGGAAGUAGGUAGAGGAGUUUGCAUUGGAUGUUUUUCUUCAUGAAAUAAGCGUGCAAAUGUCAGUGAGUGGCGUUUGAAUAAAAUUAUGGUCAAAGAUUAAGCAUUCAGAACAUUUAGUUUUUGGCCACCAUUGCAGACCACAAAAAUUAGGAUCUGCAGAUAAGCAUAAGGUUUGCCUCUGCCUCAGCACCCUCUUGUGCAACUUUAAGAAGUUGGCAUUGAUAAAAGUGUUUAUGAUAAGUAGAAAAUGGUGGAAACAGUAGAAGGAAGUGAUGGUAAUGGGUCAACUUAGGUUUAAAUCUCACUAGGCACAAAAUUAAAGAGAAAAGAUUAGAGGAAAUGGCGAAAUGCAUUGCAUCAUUUGUUGAAGUAGAAAGUCAGGACCUCUUUUUCCAUUUUAGUCUUGGACACUUUCUUCAUUCAUUUCGUUAUCUGAACCUUUAAUAUCUGUACAUGAAUGGGUGUGCAUAU
rnacentral:misc_RNA from 1 species